UACGGAGGGUGCGAGCGUUGUUCGGAAUCACUGGGCGUAAAGCGCGUGUAGGCGGCCCACUAAGUCCGCUGUGAAAGUCCAGGGCUCAACCCUGGAAUGCCGGUGGAUACUGUCGGGCUCGAAUCCGGAAGAGGUGAGUGGAAUUCCUGGUGUAGCGGUGAAAUGCGCAGAUAUCAGGAGGAACACCGAUUGCGAAGGCAGCUCGCUGGGACUAACUGAACGUGCGCUGAGACGCGAAAGCGUGGGGAGCAAACAGG
rnacentral:rRNA from 1 species